UUUGGACACAUGCUAUAACAUGGAGAACCUUGAGGGCAUUAUGCCAAAUGAAAGAAGCCAGUCACUAAAGGACAAAUAUGAUUCCACUUAUGUGAGGUACCUAGAGUAGUUAAGUUCAGACGCAGGAAGUAGAAUGGAGGUUACCAGAGGCAAAGGAGGGGAAAUAGGGAAUGACCGUUUAAUAGGUAUGGAGUUUGGGAUUAGGAAGAUGAAAAAUGUGCUGGAGAUGGUUGCUGGUGAUGGUUGCACAGCAGCGUGAAUGUAAUUAAUGCACAGAACCACACACUUAAAAGUUAACAUGGUUCUUUUUAUGUUAUAAAUAUUUUACAAUAAAAAUAAAAAGAAGUAGAAUAAAAUAUAGCUUACAUAGAUGUGUUUAUUGUGUGAAAAUUUAUCAAGAUCUACACUUAUAAUCAUGUCCUUUUCUGCCUAUUUGCUAUGCUUCAAUAACAGAAUUAUUAAAAAUCCGAACAUAGUAGAAGUCAGAACGCAUUGUCCAUAAUAAGGCAUGUUACUCAUUAGGCCACUGGAAUGCAACAACAUAGACUUCUAUAUCCAACUGGCUAAAGAAAGCUGCACAACUGGGCAGAUUUGUGAAACUCCAGGUGAGAGCACAGCAACAAGGCACCAUCUUGGAAGCAGACAGCAACCCUCAC